ensembl:lncRNA
UGAUUCUGAAGAUAUUUUGAGACAUGACAUAAAAGACUAAAACCAUCUGAAGCUGUUACUUUUUUAAGUUUAUGGAUUUCUUUACACAUACGAAAAGUAUUAAAUACAAAAUUCAGUUUAAAGAAGUUACUUUUUGCAACAAAAUUUCAUCACUUCAGAAAUAACUUCUAUGUAUGCAAAUUAGACUAAAAACUGUCUCCUCAAUACGUCAGCAUGUGUUCACCUGAAACAAAUCAAAGUAUCAUAGCGGUGCUUUCUUACCAGCACACCUCCUCCUCGUGUCCUUGUGGCGUUUCUCAUCCUCGGGGGGUGUUGUCAUCUUUUAAAAAGCUGCACACCCAUCCGGGUGUUUGCAGCUCUGCACACGUCAGUCAUAAACAACAACAACGAUGUGGCACAACCUGUUAGCGUUAGCUGUUAGCUGUCCGUCUCAGUGCUCGUGUUAAUGACGACGAGCUCGACCUGAGGUGGGUCUGUGCUCACAUGACCCGCUGACGCUAUAAAGGUCGUUUGAGGGUUUUAAUCAUUCGCUUUAAUUUUAAAUAAAUCUGAGAUCAUAAACUCUGCUUCUAAUUCUGCAAAACCCACUCAUGAAAACUGUGGAUUAUUUUCUUCUUCGGUUGGAGCCGUUUUACUUCAAAAAUAUUCGCUACAAAGAAACAACAGUCCAUUUUACAGACUUGACGGCGUCUCGUCCUCCACCCUGAAGCUCGCCGCCUCUCCGAGCUGAAGCAUCGAAUGAGUGAAAUUCAGUGUUAACAACCUGUGAUGAGCUUUGUUUAGCAGCGACCCGAUCGGUGACCCUUUACACUCCAGCUCUGCGGCUUGUUAGAUGCCACUUAGAAGGCCGCUGACCAGAAUGACCCUCAGUGCGGACGCACACCUCCAGAGUACACCAUCUGACGCCCGCGCAGAGGGGGACUCGGGUUGAAGCCCAAAGCAUUUUUCUACUGAUUUUGAAGCCCCGACACUUCAAGUCAGUGAAGUUCUUGUCUAAGAGUUUAAAUCUCCAAUUAGGAUUUAAUGACGAUGGUUAAUUUCCCUAUAAAAUGUCACCAUAAUAAUAAUAAUGAUAAAGAUCACAAAAAGUUCUGAACUGUUUGGCUUUUUGUGUCAUGGUCCUGGGUCGAGUGACCCAGUGUUUGAGUUUCAUGUAUCUUUUGUAUUCAUUUGUGCCCUAGUUCAGCUCAUCUAGUUUAUUUUGAGAUUGCUGUUUAGUCUUGUUCCUUAGCUGUUUAUGUCAUCUCCCCCUGUACCAAGUCUCCCUGGUUCAUGCGUCAUGUCUGCGUGGUUAUGUUUAGUUCAUGUCAUGUCCAUGUUUCCUGUUUUACUUUGAAAGUCUGCAUUUAAUGUCAGUAUAUGUAGUUGCACCUCUCCUGUCCUGUCUUUAGGUUCACGUGUGUCAGCUGUGCUCCCAUGUGUGGCCACUUCCCCUGAUCAUCCCUCAUGUGUAUUUAGUCUCUGUGUUUCAGGCAGUCUGUGUCGUGUCGUCUGUGUUCCCACCCUCCAUGUUUUCACAGCCAGUCUUUGUAUUCGUAGUCAUGGUUUUCUGUGUCUUCAUAGUUUAUCAUAGUAUCAGUUUCCCAGUUUAGUUAUAGUUUAGUUUUGUCACUGCGUUUCUGCCUUGUUUGAACUCCUUGUCAUUCAGCCACAAUAAAGGCUCGCUUUUCGUUCGAACUCAGUUUCGUGUCCUCCACACACUCUCCACACGGUCUGCCACUGCGGACCGUGACAUUUUGUCUGGUAAUAAAGUUAAAGAUCAAUCUGUAAGUUUGGAUGAUUUCCAUCAAAAUAAUCAAAGUUAGAUUCUAAUAAUAGCGGGAAAAAGAAAGAAAUCAUUAUCCAGUGACUCAGUGUAACAGCAACAAUAAUAGUAAUCAUACUGCAGUAACAGUUUUGGGUUUUUUCAUAUUUCUUGUUCGGUUUAUGAGAUCGUGGCUUCUCGUUUGUUGGUCUCAUUUUUGUGGCUCUUUGAUGUUUUUAAUUUGGCCGAUCUGAGGUCCAGAUUGUUGUAAUACUCAAACUUUGAGUCGCUUCCUAUAAAAUUCCUCAUGUUUUCUCCCUUUGCUCCACGUCGGAG